UACGGAGGGGGCUAGCGUUGUUCGGAAUUACUGGGCGUAAAGCGCACGUAGGCGGCUUUGUAAGUUAGAGGUGAAAGCCCGGGGCUCAACUCCGGAAUUGCCUUUAAGACUGCAUCGCUAGAAUUGUGGAGAGGUAAGUGGAAUUCCGAGUGUAGAGGUGAAAUUCGUAGAUAUUCGGAAGAACACCAGUGGCGAAGGCGACUUACUGGACCACGACUGACGCUGAGGCACGAAAGCGUGGGUGGCAAACAGG
rnacentral:rRNA from 1 species